AUAAUACUCCCUCCGUCCUAAAAUUCUUGUCUUAGACUUGUCUAGAUACGGAUGUAUAUCAAGUCACGUUUUAGCAUUAGAUAUAUCCAUAUCUAGACAAAUGUAAGACAAGAAUCUUAGGACGGAGGGAGUAGCAU
rfam:Triticum aestivum genome assembly, contig: Triticum_aestivum_CS42_TGACv1_scaffold_061304_1DL